CGUCUCCUCCAUGUCUCCUCCUGAUAUGGAUUUAGCCCGCCCACUCAGGCGGGCUUUUUCUU
rnacentral:ncRNA from 1 species